UACGUAGGGUGCAAGCGUUAAUCGGAAUUACUGGGCGUAAAGCGUGCGUAGACGGUUAUUUAAGUCAGAUGUGAAAGCCCCGGGCUCAACCUGGGAAUUGCAUUUGAGACUGAAUAGCUAGGGUACGGUAGAGGGAAGCGGAAUUUCCGGUGUAGCGGUGAAAUGCGUAGAUAUCGGAAGGAACAUCAGUGGCGAAAGCGGCUUCCUGGACCAGUACCGACGUUCAGGCACGAAAGCGUGGGGAGCAAACAGG
rnacentral:rRNA from 1 species